rnacentral:rRNA from 1 species
UGUAAGCGUAUACCAAAGUUGUUGCAGUUAAAACGCUCGUAGUCGGAAUUUGGCAGUUCCGGAUGUGUGCACGUCGUGUGCGCACUUCGCGGGGAUUGCUUUUGUGGUCUUGCGUAGGGUGAGGCACUUUUAUUAGUGAACGUCCUCACGCAACCACUUUUUACUGUGAGAAAAUCAGAGUGCUCAAAGCAGGCAUUUGCCGUGAAUGUAUUAGCAUGGAAUAAUAGAAUAGGACUUGGUUCUAUUUUGUUGGUUUGUUGGGACUGAGUAAUGAUUAAGAGGGACAGUUGGGGGCAUUUGUAUUUCGGUGCUAGAGGUGAAAUUCUUAGAUUACCGAAAGACAAACUGCUGCGAAAGCGUCUGCCAAGGAUGUUUUCAUUGA